CUCCUGGCUGCCUCCAUACAAGCCAUAUUUCCAGGUCCCCUUCACUACAGAGCCCUCCAACGCCUAUAGGUACUGACACUAGAUGCAGAAGCGAAAGAAGAACUCCACUGGUGGCUCCUACACAUGGAGGCAUGGAAUUUACGGUUCGGCCCAAGAUGUAGUCAUAGAGUCAGACGCGAGCUCUAAGGGGUGGGGAAGUCGUUGUGUAGAUGUCUACACAGGUGGACGAUGGUCGGACUUGGAGUCCACCUUUCAUACAAAUUGCUUAGAACUCUUGGCAGGGUCCUUCGCGAUUCACAGCCUCUCCCUGACCCUACCCCAGUGCUCAAUUUUUCUGAAGAUGGACAACAUAUUUAUGAACCAUUUGGGGGGCACGAGAUCCAAAGUCCUGGCAAAUCUGGCUCGAGACUUCUGGCAAUUUUGUCUGCAACACAACAUUGCUAUCAGAGCAGAGUAGAG